rnacentral:rRNA from 1 species
AACGAACGCUGGCGGCAUGCCUAACACAUGCAAGUCGAACGAGACCUUCGGGUCUAGUGGCGCACGGGUGCGUAACGCGUGGGAACCUGCCCUUAGGUUCGGAAUAACUCCCCGAAAGGGGUGCUAAUACCGGAUAAUGUCUUCGGACCAAAGAUUUAUCGCCUUUGGAUGGGCCCGCGUUGGAUUAGCUAGUUGGUAGGGUAAAAGCCUACCAAGGCGACGAUCCAUAGCUGGUCUGAGAGGAUGAUCAGCCACACUGGGACUGAGACACGGCCCAGACUCCUACGGGAGGCAGCAGUGGGGAAUAUUGGACAAUGGGCGAAAGCCUGAUCCAGCAAUGCCGCGUGAGUGAUGAAGGCCUUAGGGUUGUAAAGCUCUUCUACCCGGGAUGAUAAUGACAGUACCGGGAGAAUAAGCACCGGCUAACUCCGUG